UAUAAAGUGCCUGAUAAAAGGAUUAUUCUGAUAGAAUAAACUAUGUAUAAAUAUCCUAUACCUUUAUUU
rnacentral:tRNA from 1 species